UACAGAGGGUGCAAGCGUUAAUCGGAAUUACUGGGCGUAAAGGGUGCGUAGGUGGUUUGAUAAGUUGGGUGUGAAAGUCCUGGGCUUAACCUGGGGAUUGCGCUUAAUACUGUUGAGCUAGAGUACUGUAGAGGAAGGUGGAAUUUCCGGUGUAGCGGUGAAAUGCGUAGAUAUCGGAAGGAACAUCAGUGGCGAAGGCGACUUUCUGGACAGAUACUGACACUGAGGCACGAAAGCAUGGGAGCAAACAGG
rnacentral:rRNA from 1 species